GAGUGCUAAAAAGAUCAGUACUGGUGGUCAAAUUGCAGCCUGUGCCACUAAGAUAUUUUAUCUGCUUUUAAACCCAUUCGUAUGAGCUGCUAAGGUGUUUUUUUUUUUAAAUCAGAAUUAAAUGAAGCAGGUAAAAUAGGCCAAGUAUAUCAGAAGCUUCCUGUUGCCUUACAGUGAAGUGCAGUGAAUCAGAGAAAUCUGUGCAGUAGCAACAUUCUGUUUUCUUGUUGGAAGUUUGGAAUGCUGCAUUUUUGUGAUGAAAGAAUGAUGUGGCCUAUUCUGUGUCAUGAAGCUUCAGUAAGGUGGUGUGUCUGCAGAUCCCAAGCAGUCUCCCAUCUACUCGCUGAUCAGACCAAAACAUAAUCCAUACCACAAUCUACCUACUGUAAUGCCCUGGACUCCAUCUCCCAGUCACAGAUGGUUCUGCCUACAGGCACUGACCACCAGUUAUGAGAAGAUUUGGCAUGAAGAUCUGGAGGACCUAUGCUAAGGAGAUCCAGGCACUUUUGAAGUGGCCUUCUUUGUUGGAAUGCUGAGGUGGAGAUGGAGCGUCGGGGCAGAAAAUAUGGUAUCUUCUCGGUUCCUGUUACCACAAAUGUAAACUUUUCUUAGAAUGGAACAUGAAGUAAAGAGUACCGUUUCCAGCUGUGUAGACCAUGGAGCUGCUGACAGAAGCAGACACAGAAAAAAUAAGCCCUGUUCCUUGAAACAUUUGAGAAAUGAUCAAUUCUAAAUAGCAUGACGAAAACUUCAGCAACAGUUGGACCAUACACUCAAAGUGCUUGCUGUUUGGUAGGUCAAAUGACUGCCAUGCUCCUCAAUGCCAUGCAAAAUAUAACAGUGUUCUGUCUGUCUGACUGAGAGAGAGAGACCUUUGGCUAAUUCUGCAGCAGCCUCUUUCUCCCACUGCUUCCGUUGCUUCUCAGAUUGUGUUUGGAGGGAAGAACCAAAGAUGUACAACAGCCUUUAUAUUACAGAUAAUUACCCCUUGGUGCUUAUCAAAGGUUGCAGUGUCUAGCACUGGAUGCAAUGAGUGUUGAAGGAUAGUUGUGUUUUGCUAUUUCUUUUUUAAUAAAAUGCUAAUAUGUUUUGAGGCUUUGUAUGUUUCAGAUGUUGCUGCUGAAGAGGGCUUUUUUAUGGCAUGGAUAUAGAGCUUCUCCUCAGCUCCUGACCUCAGGCCACCAUGCCCCGACUUGUUAAGUUACUGUAAGACCCUUGGGAAGCAACUGUUCCACUUCUUUGAGUCUGUUAUGUCCAGCUCCCAGGAUACCAAGAGUGCUAAAUACAUAUUCAUUGGGGAAUAUGGUGGUGGGGUUGGUGGAGGAGGAGGAGGAAGAGAAAGAAGAAAAAGUGACUCAUGCAUCUAUUUUAAAAUAAACAUUUCAUCUCUAAUACGGUUUAAUUCAGAAUCGAAAUCACAAAUGUUCUCCAUUUGCAUUGUGUUUCAAAGGAGACAUGGAUCUGCAAGAUUAAAUUCUACCCUUUUAAAAUCCUACUGUUCAUAUAAAAUUUACAUCUCUGCUGUUAAAUCUAUGGGCUAUGAUUCACCCGAUUCAGUUUCUGUGUAAAGAAACGCAACAUUA